rnacentral:rRNA from 1 species
AGUGAACGCUGGCGGUAGGCCUAACACAUGCAAGUCGAACGGCAGCACAGUAAGAGCUUGCUCUUACGGGUGGCGAGUGGCGGACGGGUGAGGAGUACAUCGGAAUCUACUUUUUCGUGGGGGAUAACGUAGGGAAACUUACGCUAAUACCGCAUACGACCUACGGGUGAAAGCAGGGGAUCUUCUGACCUUGCGCGAUUGAAUGAGCCGAUGUCGGAUUAGCUAGUUGGCGGGGUAAAGGCCCACCAAGGCGACGAUCCGUAGCUGGUCUGAGAGGAUGAUCAGCCACACUGGAACUGAGACACGGUCCAGACUCCUACGGGAGGCAGCAGUGGGGAAUAUUGGACAAUGGGCGCAAGCCUGAUCCAGCCAUACCGCGUGGGUGAAGAAGGCCUUCGGGUUGUAAAGCCCUUUUGUUGGGAAAGAAAAGCAGCAGGUUAAUACCCCGCUGUUCUGACGGUACCCAAAGAAUAAGCACCGGCUAACUUCGUG